UACGGGGGUUGCAAGCGUUAUUCGGAAUCAUUGGGCGUAAAGAGCGCGUAGGCGGUCUUCUAUGUCAGGUGUGAAAGCCCGGGGCUCAACCUCGGAAGUGCACUUGAAACUGGGAGACUUGAGUAUGGGAGAGGGAAGUGGAAUUCCUGGUGUAGCGGUGAAAUGCGUAGAUAUCAGGAGGAACACAGGUGGCGAAGGCGACUUCCUGGACCAAUACUGACGCUGAGGCGCGAAGGCGUGGGGAGCAGACAGG
rnacentral:rRNA from 1 species